rnacentral:rRNA from 1 species
GACGAACGCUGGCGGCGUGCUUAACACAUGCAAGUCGAACGGAAAGGCCCUGCUUUUGUGGGGUGCUCGAGUGGCGAACGGGUGAGUAACACGUGAGUAACCUGCCCUUGACUUUGGGAUAACUUCAGGAAACUGGGGCUAAUACCGGAUAGGAGCUCCUGCUGCAUGGUGCGGGUUGGAAAGUUUCGGCGGUUGGGGAUGGACUCGCGGCUUAUCAGCUUGUUGGUGGGGUAGUGGCUUACCAAGGCUUUGACGGGUAGCCGGCCUGAGAGGGUGACCGGCCACAUUGGGACUGAGAUACGGCCCAGACUCCUACGGGAGGCAGCAGUGGGGAAUAUUGCACAAUGGGCGGAAGCCUGAUGCAGCAACGCCGCGUGCGGGAUGACGGCCUUCGGGUUGUAAACCGCUUUCGCCUGUGACGAAGCGUGAGUGACGGUAAUGGGUAAAGAAGCACCGGCUAACUACGUG